UAAGCGGAGGAAAAGAAACCAACAGGGAUUGCCUCAGUAGCGGCGAGUGAAGCGGCAAAAGCUCAAAUUUGAAAUCUGGCGUCUUUGGCGUCCGAGUUGUAAUUUGAAGAAGGUAUCUUUGGGCCCGGCUCUUGUCUAUGUUCCUUGGAACAGGACGUCACAGAGGGUGAGAAUCCCGUGCGAUGAGAUGACCCGGGUCUGUGUAAAGUUCCUUCGACGAGUCGAGUUGUUUGGGAAUGCAGCUCUAAGUGGGUGGUAAAUUCCAUCUAAAGCUAAAUAUUGGCGAGAGACCGAUAGCGAACAAGUACAGUGAUGGAAAGAUGAAAAGAACUUUGAAAAGAGAGUGAAAAAGUACGUGAAAUUGUUGAAAGGGAAGGGCUUGAGAUCAGACUUGGUAUUUUGCAUGUUGCUCUCUCGGGGGCGGCCGCUGCGGUUUACCGGGCCAGCAUCGGUUUGGAGCGGCAGGAUAAUGGCGGAGGAAUGUGGCACGGCUUCUGCUGUGUGUUAUAGCCUCUGACGAUACUGCCAGCCUAGACCGAGGACUGCGGUU
rnacentral:rRNA from 1 species